GUGAAACCGUAUAGAGCAAAACGAAUGGGGCCUCGAAAUCCGAUGACGAAGUAAUUCAGUCUUAAUAGCGUAUGUGCUUGAUGCGUAUGUGUUGGUGUAAAAGCUUUCGCUGCGUUUUAUAGUUGCAAGCGUUGUUUUGGCGCAUUUUGCUUUGUCGGUAGGGCGUCGCAACCAGUAAAGUGAAUACAAAAGCGCUUUGAGGGUCGAGAUGUUGGUAGCUCWUUAMGCUUMKGUKUAGUGAGUAAUUAGCGCUUGGCCUGAAUGAGUCGCUACUUUACUGUGGAACAGUUCUUUGCUUCUGCGCAAGAUAACCGGAAAGCUCGGAUUUUGUGUUGUUGAUUCACUUUUUGUGGGCGGCGAUGCAACGUUUGGCUGGUAGCUGGAUAUCUUUUGCUYGUAUCGAACAGUUAGCGGCGAGUAGGUCGGUUUCCUAUUCGACCCGUCUUGAAACACGGACCAAGGAGUCUAACAUGUACGCGAGUCAUUGAGCUACCUGUACCUCAAAGGCGUAAUGAAAUGUGAAGGGCAAUUUAUUUUGUCUGAGACGUGAUCCUGCGUUUUAAUAGCGUAGGCGCAACGUCCACCCGUUCAUCGUGUACUUGUACAUAGAGCGGAGUGAGAGCGUACAUGUUGGCACCCGAAAGAUGGUGACCUAUGCCUGGGCAAGAUGAAGCCAGAGGAAACUCUGGUGGAGGUCUGAAACGUUUCUGACGUGCAAAUCGAUCGUCUGACCUGGUAUAKGGGCGAAAGACUCAUCGAACCAUC
rnacentral:rRNA from 1 species